rnacentral:rRNA from 1 species
UGCUACACAUGCAGUCGUACGUGAAAGUUCCGCAAGGAACGAGUAAAGUGGCGAACGGGUGAGUAAUACAUAGGUAAUCUACUUAUAAGUUCGGGAUAACAGUUCGAAAGGAUUGCUAAUACCGGAUAAUGUGCUUAGUCAAAAGAUUAAGCGCCAAAGGUGGCCUCUUCACAAUGCUAUCGAUUAUAAAUGAGCCUAUGGACCAUUAGUUAGUUGGCAGGGUAAUAGCCUACCAAGACAAAGAUGGUUAGCUGGUCUGAGAGGAUGACCAGCCACACUGGAACUGAAACACGGUCCAGACUCCUACGGGAGGCAGCAGUGGGGAAUAUUGCGCAAUGGGGGAAACCCUGACGCAGCAACGCCGUGUGAGCGAUGAAGGCCUUCGGGUUGUAAAGCUCUGUUAAAUAAGAAGAGACUCCCAUAUUCUAAUACAAUAUGGGAUUGACGGUAUUAUUAGAGAAAGCACCGGCUAACUCCGUGCCAGCAGCCGCGGUAAGACGGAGGGUGCAAGCGUUGUUCGGAAUUACUGGGCGUAAAGGGCGAGUGGG